CCUACGGGGGGCAGCAGUGGGGAAUAUUGGACAAUGGGGGGAACCCUGAUCCAGCGACGCCGCGUGAGUGAAGAAGUAUUUCGGUAUGUAAAGCUCUAUCAGCAGGGAAGAAAAUGACGGUACCUGACUAAGAAGCCCCGGCUAACUACGUGCCAGCAGCCGCGGUAAUACGUAGGGGGCAAGCGUUAUCCGGAUUUACUGGGUGUAAAGGGAGCGUAGACGGUGCAGCAAGUCUGAUGUGAAAGGUCGGGGCCCAACCCCGGGACUGCAUUGGAAACUGUUGAACUGGAGUACAGGAGAGGUAA
rnacentral:rRNA from 1 species